UACCUGCAGCUCAAGUGGUGACCGUUAUUAUUGGGCCUAAAACGUUCGUAGCCGGCUUAUUAAAUGCCUGGGUAAAUCGUGUAGCUUAACUAUACGAAUUCCGGGUAGACUGAUAAGCUUGAGACCGGGAGAGGUUAGAGGUACUCCUAGGGUAGAGGUGAAAUUCUGUAAUCCUAGUAGGACCACCAGUGGCGAAGGCGUCUAACUAGAACGGGUCUAACGGUGAGGAACGAAGCCCUGGGGCACAAACCGGAUUAGAUACCCGGGUAGUCCAGGGUGUAAACGCUGCUUGCUUGAUGUUAGCUGAGCUCCGAGCCCAGCUAGUGUCGGAGAGAAGUUGUUAAGCAAGCUGCCUGGGAAGUACGGUCACAAGACUGAAACUUAAAGGAAUUGGCGGGGAGCACAGCAACGGGUGGAGCGUGCGGUUU
rnacentral:rRNA from 1 species